rnacentral:tRNA from 1 species
AAAUGAGAAGUAAAUAAUUACAUUUAGUUUCGACCUAAAAGUAUGGUCAUAAAACCCUCAUUUA